rnacentral:rRNA from 1 species
CCUACGGGAGGCAGCAGUGGGGAAUAUUGGGCAAUGGGCGCAAGCCUGACCCAGCAACGCCGCGUGAAGGAAGAAGGCUUUCGGGUUUUAAACUUCUUUUCUCAGGGACGAAGCAAGUGACGGUACCUGAGGAAUAAGCCACGGCUAACUACGUGCCAGCAGCCGCGGUAAUACGUAGGUGGCAAGCGUUAUCCGGAUUUACUGGGUGUAAAGGGCGUGUAGGAGGGAAAGCAAGUCAGAUGUGAAAACCAUGGGCUCAGCCUGUGGCCUGCAUUUGAAACUGUUUUUCUUGAGUACUGGAGAGGCAGACGGAAGUCCUAGUGUAGCGGUGAAAUGCGUAGAUAUUAGGAGGAACACCAGUGGCGAAGGCGGUCUGCUGGACAGCAACUGACGCUGAGGCGCGAAAGCGUGGGGAGCAAACAGGAUUAGAUACCCCUGUAGUC